UACAGAGGUCUCAAGCGUUGUUCGGAUUCAUUGGGCGUAAAGGGUGCGUAGGCGGCGCGGUAAGUCGGGUGUGAAAUCUCGGAGCUUAACUCCGAAACUGCAUUCGAUACUGCCGUGCUUGAGGACUGGAGAGGAGACUGGAAUUUACGGUGUAGCGGUGAAAUGCGUAGAUAUCGUAAGGAAGACCAGUGGCGAAGGCGGGUCUCUGGACAGUUCCUGACGCUGAGGCUCGAAAGCGUGGGGAGCAAACAGG
rnacentral:rRNA from 1 species